rnacentral:pre_miRNA from 1 species
GUGUAGUGUGACAUGUCCGUUGGGAAUUACUCUAAUGCAUGAUUUAUUUACUAUUUAAUUGAUUUUAGGUAACAGGGUGUUACAUGAAG